rnacentral:ncRNA from 1 species
CUCAGGGCAAACCCCCGGCGACGGGGGGACGCAAAGCCACGGGUCUCCACCCAGGAGACAGCCGGGCUGCCGA